GGAGGUUUCCACCACAGGGCUGAGCCCUUGUGAGUUUCCAACAUAUACCAAGCGAGCACCAGCGACAAAGGGGCAUUACUGAGAUACUCUUUCUGCUGUGGCCAACAAUUCAGGAUGGUUGUUUCUCCUUGAGUUGGAAAAAACCUAAAUCCUUUAGCAAUCCUAUGGAUAGUACAAACAGAGGAAGGAGACAGAAUAUAGAAGAGAAAAUAAUAUUGGGACCUCAGUAUAACCAUGCAACAGGGAAGCCUGACCCUCUCUAUUGCUCCUAAACACCUGCUGCUGUGUACUCCCGAUCUGGCUCUUGUAGACAGCCAUCCAUUGGGACGUAGCCUGGAGGCAAGAGAUCAUGCACUCUUUCCUACCUGAGGAUAUUAUUUUGCUUGCUUGCCACCAAGGUGACACCUGGUGAUCAGGGUGGGAAAUAGAGUGGCAAGAUUCUUGCUAGGAGACCCAAACCACAAGACUGGUGUCUCUAUUCACGGGUUAUAAACAGGAUUUCUGGCUUUGGACCUUACUCCACUGCCACUAACAGAAUACUCACAGUCUAGCAGCCUACCCUGAUUUCAAGGGUUGUUGUUGCCAGAGAGAUCACAAGCUUGCAAAAUAAUGUCUUGAAAUCGAUCAGCUUCGUUUGCAAUCCCUAGAUGCCAGAAUUGAAACCAGUAGAGAGAACUGCUAAAGCAGUACAGCCCUCAGAACAGGAAUUCCCCCAGAAUAUACCUUCCUGGAGUGGCCACGAGGCAAAAGACAAUUGGAUUUCUGUCACUUGCAAACUAAAAAGCCUUUACUAAUACAAACAGAACUUUGUUUCUCUCUUUUCCUGGCGAGGAUGUCUCAAGACGCCUGAUGUAUAUAUUCCUCCCAGCUCUUACCAGACCCAAGAUCCCCUCUGGGGGUCAUCCCUCCAAGUUCAUCCUGAGAGUAGAACUGAAAGCAGAGAAGAAAGAGGGACCAUAUUCCCUUUGAACCCAGCCGACAUCUGGAUGUUCCAAGCCUGGCCUGCUGGACUCCCAAGGAUGGGUAAUAUCUGAAUGUGAAUAAAUAGACACCGAGCUCUUAAACAUGACACAGUUCCAAGCACAACACCCAAUGAGGCCAACAAUCUGAAUUCCUUGAGAGGUUAAAGCUGAGGGAAGUUCUCUUUGGAAGAAGACGCACCUGCUCUCCAUUCAUUUUCCCUUUACUUAAAGGGGUGCUCAGAGCAGCACUGCUUGUCCCUCGGUGAAGGCACUGAAGAACAGAGCAUGUUGUGUUGCUGCUAACAAAAUGGGCCUUGUACCUCUUCAAGUCCUCCUGCGCACCGAAGGACCCUUACAUGCGAGUGCUGGAAAUGAACAGAGGUUCAGAAGUUAAUGCAAGUAACAGGUCCCAUGUUGCCUUGAAUCAGGUGUCCUGCUUCAGCAGCAGGAA